rnacentral:lncRNA from 1 species
UUUUUAAGAUUUAUUUAGUCAUGAAAGACACAGAGAGAGAGAGAGAAAGAGAGGCACAGACAAAGGGAGAAGCAGGGUCCACACUGGGAGCCCGACGUAGGACUCAAUCCUGUGUCCCCAGGAUCAUGCUCUGGGCUGAAGGUGGUGCUAAACCGCUGAUCCACCGGGGCUGCCCGAAAUUAUUUUAAAAUAAAAAAGGGUUUUAAAAGUUGGGGAAGUUAAGAGCAGAAAAAAGCAAGGUCAAUGUCUUGAUGGUUUAUUUGAACAUUUACAAAAUCUGUGAAUGUUACACAGGGAACACAAAACCCUUAUUUUGUAAGAAAAGGUAGGAGCUGAGAGUGCCUCAAAUAGUUGGCUAGGGAGACAUCUACAAAAUAUCUCCCUAAAGGUACUCACUUUGAUAGGUGCACUAAUGUUUGAUUCGAUGAACUUUCAUUCCAUAUUAGCAGAAUCAAUGAUAUCCUGGUGAUCUAAUAACUCAGGUUAAUGUGAUUAGAAAUACCAGCAAUAUCAGAUUGGUGGAGAUGAAGGUGAGGUAUCAUGCUAGCAUGGGGGGCAACAAUGGUACUUGUAAUUUGUUGGUGGGAUUUAGAUUGAUAAAACCUAGUGUAAUCUUUUGAGGAGCCAUCAGGUAGUAUAUAUCACAUUUUAAAUGUCCAUACCCUUUGACUCUACUUUUAGAAAUUCAUCCUAGGGAAAUAGUGGGGCAAGUGAACAAAGAUGUAUAUUCAAAGAUGUUCACUAUCAUAGCAAAGAACAGGAAACUAUGUGUCUAUCAGUAGGGAGUUAAAUAAAUUAUGGUUUAUCCAUGCAAGAGAAUAUUCUUCAGGAUAUCCCUAAUAUAUUAAAUGAAAAAGUAAAACUAGUAUAUAUAGUAUGAUCUUCUGAUAUUUACAUUACUUAUUUACAUUUAAAGUGGGAAUAUUUUAUAGGCUUUUUUUUUUUAAGAGUUUAUUUAUUUAUUCAUGAGAGACACAGAGAGAGAGAGGCAGAGACACAGGCAGAGGUAGAAGCAGGCUCCAUGGAGGGAGCCUGACAUGGGACUCGAUCCCGGGUCUCCAGGAUCACGCCCUGGACCCAAGGCGGCGCUAAACCGCUGAGCCACCCGGGCUGCCCUAUAGGCUUUUUUUUUUUUUUUAAGAUUGAAGGAAUACAUGCUAAAAAGAAUUGUGGGUAGGAAAGUAUUAAGAUGAAUAUAUAUUGCAUCAUCUAUAGCAGACUACAUAAUUUGCAAAAUGAAAAUGUGGAGCCCCGUGUUAAAAAAUCAAAAAUUUCAAGAUAGUGACAGCUGAGCAUUAAAUUAGGUGUGGGGCCCUUCUAAAUACAGGGCCCUGUAAGAUUCCAUAAGCUGCAUGCCCUUGAAGCUGACUCUGGCUCUACACUGUGCUUUACACUUAGAUAUAUGCAACACUGUAAUAUACAUUACACUGUUUGGUAUACACUAAGACACACACUACAGUAGUGGUAAUAUAUGACAGGUAGUUGGAAAUAUACCUGUUGUCUGUCUCUGCCCUGCCCGCCCCCCUGUUGUUAUUUUGGGUAUUGUAAUAAGAGCAGUACUUUGUGAUAAGGGCCAUCCAAAGUGUGUUUAAAUUAUUCCUAAAAGAAGCUAGCACACUAAGGGUGCUGAGAUUAACAAUUUACUGGUACCCUUUGGAUCACUUCACAUGCCACAAGAGUGCCUCCAAGAGGCACUCAAUGAGACAGAGAUGUGUGCAGCUCUCAAAAAAGAUUUCUGUUGCAAAUUUUAAUUACUUUUAAUGAGGUUCUACGAUAAUGACUACCAGGGACAGAUAAAUGAUGGGUAAUUUUUUCCUCUUUUCAUGUGGCAAGUAGAAGUAAAAGAAAAAAAUAAGAACAAAGAACAUAAAGGAAUUUCCUAUUUC